rnacentral:rRNA from 1 species
GACGAACGCUGGCGGCGUGCUUAACACAUGCAAGUCGAACGGAAAGGCCCUGCUUUUGUGGGGUGCGCGAGUGGCGAACGGGGGAGUAACACGUGAGUAACCUGCCCUUGACUUUGGGAUAACUUCAGGAAACUGGGGCUAAUACCGGAUAGGAGCUCCUGCUGCAUGGUGGGGGUUGGAAAGUUUCGGCGGUUGGGGAUGGACUCGCGGCUUAUCAGCUUGGUGGUGGGGUAGUGGCUUACCAAGGCUUUGACGGGUAGCCGGCCUGAGAGGGUGACCGGCCACACUGGGACUGAGCUACGGCCCAGACUCCUACGGGAGGCAGCAGUGGGGAAUAUUGCACUAUGGGAGGAAGCCUGAUGCAGCAACGCCGCGUGCGGGAUGACGGCCUUCGGGUUGUAAACCGCUUUCGCCUUUGACGAAGCGUGAGUGACGGUAAUGGGUAAAGAAGCACCGGCUAACUACGUG